rnacentral:rRNA from 1 species
UGCCGGCGAGUGGCGAACGGGUGAGUAAUGUAUCGGAACGUGCCCAGUAGUGGGGGAUAACUACUCGAAAGAGUGGCUAAUACCGCAUGAGAUCUCUGGAUGAAAGCGGGGGACCGUAAGGCCUCGCGCUACUGGAGCGGCCGAUAUCAGAUUAGGUAGUUGGUAGGGUAAAGGCCUACCAAGCCUGCGAUCUGUAGCUGGUUUGAGAGGACGACCAGCCACACUGGGACUGAGACACGGCCCAGACUCC